ACGGGGGGCAUGGAGAAGGGGAAGCCUGGACAGUGGGGACCCCUGGGAUCCCCGGGACAAUGAAGUGGAAAACCUGGAGAGAGGGAAUAUCCGGGAAUGUGGCACCCUGAAGGCGAGAGUCAGAGGAGAAGGGACCCUUGAGACCCAACACUCCCAAGUAUCCCUAAGUGGGACCCCAAGCAUCCCAGACAGGGGAGACUCUCUGAACCCCAGAGGGGAGAGACCAGAGAGGGGGAAUUUCUGGGAGAGAUUUUUUGGGCUAAUCUUCAUAUUUUAGAGUAUAUUUUAGCUGAAUCCCAACUUUUUGCAGUUUGUGGGGACAAGGGUUUUCUUGCUAUUUCUGAGGUUUUUUCCUGAAUCACUGUGGUUUGGGUUUUUCUGGGCUGAAUCUUGGUGUUUUGGAGGUUUUUGUGGUCACGGGAUGCCCGAUGAGUUCUAGAGAUGGACUUGGGCAGGAGGAACCCCCAAGCCAACGCGCUCAGCCCUUGUUUCCCCCCAUCAGGAUUUGUCCUUCCCAAAGCUUGGGUGGAUGGAGGAGGAGGCUGCGAGGAAGAGGAAGAUGCCUUGGGCCCCCCAGGCAGACCCCGAGCUGAGGACGGAGAGCCCGGAGGACAAAUCCCCCCUUGAGACCCUGGUGGGAGAGGCCGUUUUGAAGGGCUCCCCGGCGCAGGAAGGCAGCGGGGAGGAAAAGGGCCGGAGAUCCCCCCGCAGGAGGGGCUCCAAAGCCAGUCCCCUUUCCCAGGGGCAGGUUCUUCCAACAGAACCUUUCUGGAGGUGUGUGGAGAUUCCUGCCAUGGCUGGGGACCCCCCAAGGUCACUCCUGGAGGUUGAGAGCAGAGAUCUCCCCACCAGCGUUGGUCUGGGGGAGUUCCAUCCACCUCUAAUUAAGAAUUAUUGCUUUUGUUUCAGCUUUAGUAGAAUUGCAUCAAUAAUUACUUUAGUGUAGAGCACUGUCCUAUCUUAUCCUGUACUCCUGGUAGUUUUAGUGUUUCUAUUGUGCAGUAAAUAAUUCUGAUGAA